UGGGGAAUAUUGCACAAUGGGCGCAAGCCUGAUGCAGCGACGCCGCGUGAGGGAUGACGGCCUUCGGGUUGUAAACCUCUUUCAACAGGGACGAAGCGUAAGUGACGGUACCUGUAGAAGAAGCACCGGCCAACUACGUGCCAGCAGCCGCGGUAAUACGUAGGGUGCGAGCGUUGUCCGGAAUUACUGGGCGUAAAGAGCUCGUAGGUGGUUUGUCGCGUUGUUCGUGAAAACCUGAGGCUUAACCUUGGGCGUGCGGGCGAUACGGGCAGACUGGAGUACUGCAGGGGAGACUGGAAUUCCUGGUGUAGCGGUGGAAUGCGCAGAUAUCAGGAGGAACACCGGUGGCGAAGGCGGGUCUCUGGGCAGUAACUGACGCUGAGGAGCGAAAGCGUGGGGAGCGAACA
rnacentral:rRNA from 1 species